rnacentral:lncRNA from 1 species
AGAUGGGUGAUGAAAUAUGCAGUCGCCGGUGACGUGUGCCCGUGUGUCAUCCGUGGAAUAGUAUUCCAAUUGGGAGACCAUUUCAAAGAAAUGGGCAACCGGUUGAAAUCUAAACAAUAUAUUAUUAUAUUUGCUAAUCUUAAUUAAUUCAACAAGGAAACUAGAUAAAAAAAAAAAACAAUACAUACGAUGAAAUGAAGGUUUUGUUUUCUUAUUUUAUUUAAGGAAUAAUAUUACCAUCGUUCCUUUAUUUUUAUCAAAAAAAUCAAAAUCAAAAUCAUCCUUCUUUCUUUUAUUAUUAUUUUUUAAAAACGUCUCUCGAGUUUUUAGAAAAUGUCAAUGUACAGUCCUUCCAUUAUAAUUUUUCCCUUACUCGUCGAUUUUUGUUGACAUGGAUUAGAGAAUUAAUAAUAUAGAUGCUAGUGAAUACAUGUGUCACACUGAAAUACAUAUGUCAUGUCAUGAUUUUUUGAAAUUUAUUAUAAGUCAAAAAGGCACCACAUUAAUAUAUAUAUAUAUAUAUAUAUAUAUAUAUAUAUAUAUAUAUAUAUAAAACCAAAAUUGAGAGAGAAAAACAGAUGGAGGAUCAUCAUCGUAGCCAGAAGCUCAAGCUCUAAGCUUGUAGCAACCAUGGUCACAGUGGCCACAACCACUAGAGUUUCGAAUUGUGAAUUUUGAGAGCAUGGCUACUCGAGAAAAGCUCAUGGUCAUGGUGGCUCAAUUGGUGGUCGUAAAUGGUUACAAAUCAUAGUUUUUGUGUUUAUUAUGGAUGUUUUGUAGGUUUUCUUCAAGUUUAUCGUUUAUGUUAUUUUAUUUUUAUUAUACUCAAAUUUAAGAAAUUUUACUUCGAGGGAUUAAAGGAAAUCCCGAUAACUAAGAUUUCAUUCCAAAUUUCCCAAAGAAACAAGAUGACCCAUUUAUCUUGUUCCCUCUACUUAUACUAUUAACUUAUUCGCUCUUUCAAUGAACAUUUUAUAGCACUUUAUGCUUCAUAUUUGAUGAAGUGGCAUGUCACAUAAUGCUUAAGCAUGUAUAAAUUACUUCACCUUUCACCUGCCCUUAAAACCUACCUUAACACUUUUUCUUUGGAAGAAGUACAUCCCAGGUGUCAAAGCUUGACUCAAAAGGACACUUAAAUUCCAAAAAUUAGGAAAGUGAUACUUAAGUGUCAUCUCUGGUAAACCCGCCGAAAAUCUUACGUGAUAAUUUUUUAUUAUUUUUCUUGCCUACAUGGCUUGUCAAAGAGUUGACUUAGCAAAGAAAUGCAAAAACGACGUCGUUUUAAUGUGAAUUUGAAUUUGAAUAUAAAAUUUAAUUAAAUUAAACUAUAAAAAUUAAUUAAAAAUAAAUAAAAAAUUUUUAAAAAAGGGAGGGAUGAAGAAGGUGGCUGAGGGCUGAGCCCUCUGCCACUGCCUCCCUAUCGUCGCAGGGAAGGGCUAGCGAAGGUGGGGGGAGGGUUGGCUAGGGCCCAACGACCCUGGUUGAUCAAUGACGAGGGCUUGCGAGCCCUCGCCUAGAUCUGGGGUGAGGGUCGCAACCCUCCCCCAAAUCUGACAAGGGUAGGCGACUCUCGCUUGAAUAGGCCAAGGGCCGCUGCUAGCUAGGGGCGCCCCAACGGGCAACCAUUGUUUGCUGUUUUGUUGAAAUCCAAAUGUUACAAUAAGUGCACAUCCGUCUACUUCAAUAAUUGAAUCAUAUUAUUUAUAUUUGUAUUUUUUCUUUGUGUUUAUCUUUAUAUUCUAUUUGUUAUUAUUAUAUAAUUUUUUCAACUGAGUGUUUCUUAUUUAUGUUUGAUUGUCAAGAGAAAAAUAUCAUUUCAGUCCUUCUCAUAUAGUUCUUUAUUUAAAAUUAAACAAAUAUAUUUAGUUGUUAAUACCAUUCAAAGUCAAACAAAAAUAUUCAAAUUAUGCGUAAGAAAAUAUUAAAUUGUAUCUUGCGUUUGAGUUGGUGAAAGAAAUAUUAAGAAAUCCAUUUUCUUAUUGGGAUCAGGAUCCAUCAGACCAUGUAGUUUUCUGGACUGGUUUGUUUGGCUUUUUCGGUUUGGUCAAAGGAGACGUCUGGUUGUUUGACUCCUACACGCAGCGACACAAGAGAGAAAGCCAUUAAAGAAAUGGAGGGGGUGAAAGGGUCUUUGUCAGAGUAAGAAAACAAAGUAAAAUAUAGUUUUUUUUUUCUUUCACGAGGGCUCAGGUACACAAGAAUUUUGUUGUGUGACUUUUAUAUCCAAGUCGAGUUGUCGCACUUACUAAUAAUUUAGGUGUGGGAAAUAUUAGAGCAUGUUCAUGAUCGUAACUUUGAUUCUCCGAUUUUAUAAUGAAUUAUUUACUGUUGAUUCUUCUUGUGAAGAAAGUACUGAUACUCAAACCGAAUCAUCUAAUUCAUUCAUGUCUUUUAUUUUUCUUGUUUAUUUCUUUGGUAAUUUCACAUUGAUUUAAAUUGCAAAAUCUUGUUAGUUUCCUCAUUAAUUUUACAAUGGGAAGUUUGCUGUCUAUACAUUUUAAGAGAUUGCGUGGUCUUUAUACAUGCAAUGCACGUAACAUUCUACUAGCAAUUUGAAUACGGAUCAUUACUAGAAAAGUCUUAAACUUAUUAUUCAAAUGGCAAUUUAGUUCAAAACUUUUUAAUUUAGCCAAAUUAAUCCUAAUUUUUUUUGACAAUUUGUCAAUGUAAUCAUACCGACCAAUUUUGGUCGGUAAUUGCUGACGUGGACAAAAAUUGUCUUAUGUGGCAUAGUCGAUACUGAUGUAAAGAACUUUUUUUUGUGAUAUUUUAAUUUUUUUAAUUUUCUUUUUCCCCCCUCUUCCUUUGCCGGUUGCCAUGGCCAAUAAUCAGCCAUAGUCGAGGGCUGGUGAGGGCAAGCCUCACAUGAGGCCCAUGAGAUCAGCCCUUGUUCGACCCUUGCUUGUCGCUUGCUAGCAAUUGCCAAGGCCUGACAACUGGCAAGCAAGAAGGAAAUAAAAAAAGAAAGAAAAUAAAAAAGGAAAAAUUCAAAUAAAGUAUAUAUAUUUAGAAAAAUAUAAAAAAUGCAAAAAGUUGAUUACAUUAGUGUUGGCUAUGCCACAUUACUGGCCAAAAUUAGCUAGAAGAAUUAUAUUAGCAAAUCAUCAAAAAAAAAAUUAUGAAUAAAUUGGCUAAAUUGAAGUAUUUAUGAUUGAAUUGGUAUCCGUAUAAUAUAUUUAACAUUUUUUUUUGGAAAUUUGUAUGGAUUAUGGCUCAAAGUUAGUUCCUACUAUUUCUAAAUUUGACCCACGGAUUACAAGUAAUCAUGCUCAAUAUUAAGGAAAGUCCAAAUCGGACUCUUGUCAACAAGAUCAUGAAUAACAAGAUCAUGAGUAACGCAAAAAAUAUAUAUUAACUUCUCAAAAAAUUUCUUUUUUCUUAUUGAAGAUGAAGUCUAUGUUGAUGUACUUACCAAAAAAAAAAGAGUCUAUGUUGAUGUCUGAAAAGUGCUCAUAGUUUCUUGCAUACAAAUAUUAUGUUGUUGAAUUUGGUUGGGUGUGCAUAGUUAGUGCGCUUAGUAUGUACGACACUUGCAAGAGACACAAAGUGCACCAAGAACCACAAUCCAAGAGAUUCGAGAGUAUAAGAAAAUUCCUCUUUUGCAAACGAUUUUUGUGGGUUCCUCCUGAAUUAAAAAAAAAAAAACUUAUAAGUGAGUAUGACUGAGUAAUUGUAACUUUAUCCUCCUUGAUUAUUGUGGAGUUAUCUUGUUGAUUUCUCAUGUUAGAUUUGACAUAUAAUCAAAUCAUGUAAAUCUGUUAUUUUUCGAUUUUAUCUAUGAAAUUUAUAUCUUAAUUAGGGUAUGCGUGUUUCAUAGAAAUCUUCUCGAUGGAAGAAUAUAUUUUUGCAAAAAUCAUUUUCUAAGGAAAUAGCUUGUCAUUAGUUAUUUGAUGGUGUUCUUGAAGGCGAGACAUAAUUAUUUUUGAUGUUUUAAACCUAACUUUAAUAAAUUAAGCUCAAUGUUAUAAUUAUGGUUUGCUCCUAAUAUGAGAUACUAAAGUGAUAUCCAAAUCAUUGUCUAAAAUAUUACUAAUGUUUGGAAGAUAAUUUUAUGGAUUUUUAUUAUCAAAAUAAUGCAACCUGAAAAAGGACGCCCAAGAAGAAAAUGCAAAUAAUUAACAAACUUAAUCUAUCAGUACUCUUUCGAAUACCAACAAAAAAAAAAAAAAAAAUCAAUCAGUGCUCAUAAAACUUUACGUGAAAAUAGAUCUCCAUUCCAAAAAAUUAAUCAAAGAGGGAUACACAAUAAAAGUCCAAUCUGGAAAAGAAAAAAAAAAGGAAAAAGAAGAGUCAUCAUAAAAUUAAAGACAAAAACAUCCUAAAUUGGCAUUUCCACGGACACUUCAUGUAUCAUCCUUCUAAAAUAUGCAUCAUACAGCCGAGUGACGAAUAACCAAAUAACAAUUUAGUCUGACAGAGAUGCAACAAAUUGAGCAAUUGAAGCUAAUUCUAGUACCAAUCUGAAGAGGAGAUGAAACAGUUUUGAGAGUUUGCUGUGAAGAAAAGAAAGGAUGGAGAGUGAAGACUAGUAGGGACAGAGGGAGAACAGAGCACGCUUGUAGAAAAUGAGUCUGAAAAAACCGAUUUCUUCUUUUUAGGAUAGAGAAGUCAAUUUCCUGGAUGUUGAGUAUUGUUUUUUUUUUCUUGCCUGAAAAGUUUUUUCAAUAGAUUAUCCACUUUCAACAAAUCAAACGUAUUGAUCUUUAAAAAAUCAUUUCAUGGAAGUCCUUUCCUUAAAAACAAUGACACCCUCCAAAUUGCUUUGAUUCUUCACAUUUUCGCGCUAGUCAAAACAGUUUGAUCUUUCAAACCAGUUCAUUUAAAGGCGACGGCACGGUAAAGGAAGAUCCAUUUACAUCGACAUCUUAGAGAGUAAUAGAAUGAAAUUUUAUACCAAUAGAUUCAGCAGAGAAGAUAUCCUCCGAAAGAAUAACAGAGCAUUCGCACCCAAAAGUGCAGUAAGCGGGAAACUACUAGCUUCUGUUUCCCCACCAUUGCAACCAGAAAACAACCCCAUGCCCCUUCUUAUACAAGACACAUUUCCACUCAAAUGUACUUUGUAUCAUAGCGGCAAUGUAAUGACAAACGGAAAACAACUCCUUUCGAAAGCACGAGGCAAAAUGAGACUAUGUUGAUGAAAAAAAGUACAGAAAGCUUACUCAUUUGCGAGAAACCACGACCACCUGUUUCCCGAUGUUGCGACCGGAGAACACCCCAACAAGAGCUGCUGGACCAUUCUCGAGCCCUUCCGCGAUGUCUUCCGUGUAUGCAAUCUUCCCCUCUCUGAUCUGAGGCAAUACCAUCUCCAGGAACUUCGGGUAGAGAUGAUAGAAAUCGGACACCGAGAAACCUUCCAUCCGAACCCGCUUCCAGAUAAGGUUUAUCAAGUUGUGUACGCCUUCGUGCUGCUCGAGGUUGUACUGUGAGAUCAUUCCGCAUACUGUGAUUCGGCCAUGAAGUUUCAUAUUGGGCAGCACGGCAUCAAGCAUCUUUCCGCCGACAUUUUCGAAGUAGAUAUCGAUCCCCUCAGGGAAGCAUCUAAACAUUCAAGACAGAAAAAAGUCAACUCUAGUCGGCUUUGGAAUGGGUACAUAUUGAAUAUUUUGCACAUAAGUAAUGUGCUCAAUCAUCGUUACUUUAUUCUUGAUUCACCUUUUCAGUGCUGCAUCCAGAUCCAGUUCCUCCUUGUAGUUGAAAGCAUCAUCGAAUCCAAACUUGUUCUUCAGCAAAUCAACCUUUUUCCCAAACAUAACAGCAAGCGAGUAUUUUAAGUAAAGAUAAAAUCGGGAAGAGACUAUUAAGCAAUUACUAUCCAAGGAAAAACUAGACAAAUGUGAGAUGAUUACCUUCUCUUUUCUACCGGCGCUGCCAACAACAUAACAACCAAACAACUUUGCAAACUGGCCGACAAGCUGACCAACAGCUCCUGAUGCCGCCGAUAUGAAAACAGUAUCUCCUUUCUUGGGAGAGCAUACCUCGAAAAACCCAGCAUAAGCCGUCAUACCUGGCAUACCUGGAAAGUUUGGAUUUAUACAAAUUAGACGAGUUUCAAGAUUUGCUUAAGCAUAGGAGGAGGAGUGUAAUGCCAUGGCAAAUCUCAAAUGAUCCGAUUUAAUUGACCGAAGGUGAUGCCCCUGACAAAUGGAUGAGAAACAAUCAAUUUACACGCUUCUCUCAACACGAAAGAGCUGUACAGUGCUCCAUUGUUGAGAUAACUCAACGAGGGCAUAUGGCGCUUAAACAAGGAAGAUCCCCCCCAAGUAAAAUUCAAAGGAAGCACGCUUUUUCCUUGCAUAGCUGGAGGCUGUCCGUACUUGAGAACCAAACAGACAGAACAAAGUAUCUUAACGAUUCAAUGCUCCUCAUUAUUUAACUCUGAAAGAGAUAUCGCACCAAAUGAUUAAAGAGCAUACCCAGAAGGCCGGUGUAGUAAGACAGAGGAACAUCGGUGUGUUCGAUCUUAAAGCAAGUCUCUGGCACAGUAAUUAGACUAUACUCCUCCCAUCUAGUGAUGCCCCAAACCAAGUCGCCUUUCUUGAAGUUUGGAUGCCCAGAUUCCAAAACUCUAGCUACUCCAUAUCCACGAACAGGCUGCAUCGUUGUGUUAGAUUCUUCAGAAUAUAAGCGCAACUACAAUUAGCAAACUCGAAUAGACUUUGAGCGAACAAGAAGGAAAGAGUAUGCUUCCUUUGAAUCUUACUUGUUGAAUGUAAUUGUCACAAAUUUGAGUUUGGUUUAUGCAUGCGAGUUCAUAACUUACUGUUAGCAUCAUGUGUCGAGUAAAUGUAACAAGAGAGAUGGCGGUACUUACAGAGCCGAGCUGAGUGGAGAACCUGAUGAGGUUGAGAUUGUAGGGAUCGCAGGCCAGGUACAAGUUCUUCACCAUGAUGGCCCCCGAAUCCUUGUCGGCCUUCGGUCUCUCCGAGCUCGUCCUCACUUCCAAGUGGGUCUCCUUCAGGGAACCUUGUACCUUCUCUCUGUAUAUCACCUGUUUGUUGCUCAUAACUUCCACUGAAGCAUUGCUGUUCUCCUUCUCCAUUCUCUCUCUCUCUCUCUCUCUCUCUCUCUCUNNNNNNNNNNNNNNNNNNNNNNNNNNNNNNNNNNNNNNNNNNNNNNNNNNNNNNNNNNNNNNNNNNNNNNNNNNNNNNNNNNNNNNNNNNNNNNNNNNNNNNNNNNNNNNNNNNNNNNNNNNNNNNNNNNNNNNNNNNNNNNNNNNNNNNNNNNNNNNNNNNNNNNNNNNNNNNNNNNNNNNNNNNNNNNNNNNNNNNNNNNNNNNNNNNNNNNNNNNNNUAAACAAUAUAUUAUUAUAUUUGCUAAUCUUAGUUAAUUCAACAAGGAAACUAGAUAAUAAAAAAAAAAAAAAACGAUAGAUGCGAUGAAAUGAAGGUUUUGUUUUCUUAUUUUAUUUAAGGAAU